rnacentral:rRNA from 1 species
GUGCCAGCCGCCGCGGUAAUACAGAGAGUGCAAGCGUUAAUCGGAAUUACUGGGCGUAAAGCGCGCGUAGGUGGAUAUUUAAGUCAAGUGUGAAAGCCCUGGGCUCAACCCGGGAAUUGCGUUUGAUACUGGGUAUCUAGAGUAUAGUAGAGGGAAGUGGAAUUUCCGGUGUAGUGGUGAAAUACGUAGAUAUCGGAAGGAACACCAGUGGCGAAGGCGGCUUCCUGGACUAAUACUGACACUGAGGUGCGAAAGCGUGGGGAGCAAACAGGAUUAGAGACCCUGGUAGUCCACGCUGUCAACUAUGAGAACUAGAUGUUGGGUGGUUUCCACUUAGUAUCGAAGCUAACGCGAUAAGUUCUCCGCCUGGGGAGUACGGCCGCAAGGCUAAA